rnacentral:rRNA from 1 species
AUUGAACGCUGGCUGCAGGCCUAACACAUGCAAGUCGAACGAGUCGCGGACGGGUGAGUCAUGUCUGGGAAACUGCCUGAUGGAAGGCGCUACCUACUGGAAGCGGUAGUUAAUCCCGCAUCCCCUACGAUGUGCCCAGGUGGGAUUAGCUAGUAGGUUGGGUAAAAGCUCACCUAGGCGACGAUCCCUAGCUGGUCUGAGAGGAUGACCAGCCACACUGGAACUGAGACACGGGCCAGACUCAUACGGUAGGCAGCAGUGGGGAAUAUGGCGCAAUGGGAGUAAGCAUGAUGCAGCCAUGCCGCGUGUAUGAAGAAGGCCUUCGGGUUGUAAAGUACAUUCAGCGGGGAGGCGUUACCCGCAGAAGAAGGACCGGCUAAAACAGUGCCAGCAGCCGCGGUAAUAC